rnacentral:rRNA from 1 species
GACGAACGCUGGCGGCGUGCUUAACACAUGCAAGUCGAACGAAGUGGCGAACGGGUGAGUAACGCGUAAUCAACCUGCCCUUCAGAGGGGGACAACAGUUGGAAACGACUGCUAAUACCGCAUACGGAAGGAGGGGCUUGCGUCUGAUUGGCUAGUUGGGGGGGUAACGGCCCACCAAGGCGAUGCUACGUAGCCGGUCGGAGAGGAUGAACGGCCACAUUGGGACUGGGACACGGCCCAGACUCCUACGGGAGGCAGCAGUGGGGAAUCUUCCGCAAUGGACGAAAGUCUGACGGAGCAACGCCGCGGGAGUGAUGACGGCCUUCGGGUUGUAAAGCUCUGUUAAUCGGGACGCGGUACCGGAAUAGAAAGCCACGGCUAACUACGUGCCAGCAGCCGCGGUAAUUC